rnacentral:snRNA from 1 species
CGACGUUUUUCCGCCCAAAUCG